CACGGGAUAGAGUAAUUUGGUAAACUCAUUAGGCUCAUGAUCUAAAGUUACGGGUUCGAAUCCUGUUCCCGUAA
rnacentral:tRNA from 1 species